rfam:Clostridium sp. CAG:448 genomic scaffold, scf154
GUGGAAGGUAGAGGCGCGGUGUUAAAGAGUAAUGCGAGCAAGGGGGAUCCGCCCCCGCGUGAAAGGGAACACUGCCGAGGGUACACGGUGCGGAUGCUGUCGUGUAUGCCGGUAUUGCAGAGAAGAUCUGCCGUACUGUCACUUUUCUCCUUUGACGGGAGAAAGUGGAGAGCUAUCACGAAG